ensembl:lncRNA
CAUUGGGGACAUUGGGGGACAUUGGGGGACAUUGGGGUCAUUGGGGACACUGGGGGACACCGGGGAACAUUGGGGACACUGGGGACAUUGGGGGACAUUGGGGGACAUUGGGGAUUUUGGGGGCAUUGGGGACAUUUGGGACAUUGGGGACACUGGGGACAUUGGGGUCAUUGGGGACAGUGGGGACAUUGGGGGCACUGGGGACAUUGAGGGACAUUGGAGACAUUUGGGACAGUGGGGACAUUGGGGGAUAUUGGGGACUUUGCGGGACAUUGGUGGACACUGAGGACAUUGGGGGCAUUGGGGACACUGGGGACAUUGGGGGCAUUGGGGACACUGGGGACAUUGGGGGCAUUGGGGACACUGGGGGACAUUGGGGACAUUGGGGGACAUGGGGGUCAUUGGGGACAUUGGGGGACAUUGGGAGACAUUGGGGACAUUGGGGGACAUUGGGGACAUUGGUGGACACUGAGGACAUUGGGGGACAGUGGGGGACAUUGGGGGACAUUUGAGACAUUGGGGGACACUGGGGACAUUGGGGACAGUGGGGGACAUGGGGGACAUUGGGGUCAUUGGGGACAUUGGGGACAUUGGGGACAUUGGGGACACCGGGGACAGAGGGGACAUCGGGGACACUGAGGACAUCGGGGGACACCAGGGAGGCCGUGAGCCCGUGGGGACAUUGGAGGAGCCUUGUGGGGACAUCUGAGGGGGGGUCCCAAAGCCCGUGGAGCCAUCGGGGGUGUCCCCGUGGUGUCCCCUCGGUGUCCCCCAGAGUCGUACCGGGACCGUGUCCAGUUCUCGCCCACGUCCAUCCGGUUCCAGUCGGUGACGCGGGAGGACAGCGGCAAGUACAUCUGCGAGGUGGUGGCCGAUGGCAGCCACAUCGCCAAGUCUGAGGUCAACCUCAUCGUCCAAGGUGAGGCCACCUGUCCCCAGCCCUGUCCCCUAUCCCCAGCCCUGUCCCCAGCCUUGUCCCCUGUCCCCAGCCCUGUCCCUGUCCUUGUCCCCGUCCUUGUCACCCAUCCCUGGGGUGGCGCUGGGUGGUGCUGUCACUGUCCCUGUCACUGUCCCUGUGCCGUGUCACGGUGCCACCCCCGUCCUGUCCUGUGUCCUGGUGCCAACCCUGUCCCGUGUUGCAGUGCCACCCCCAUCCCUCUCCCAUGUCACAGUGCCACCCCUCUCCCUGUCCCUGGGGUGACUCUGGGCAGUGCCACCCCUGUCCCCGUCCCGUGUCCCGGUGCCACCCCUGUCCAUGUUCCUGGGGUGACUCCGGGCAGUGCCACCCCCAUCCUGUCCCGUGUCCUGGUGCCACCCCUGUCCCUGUCCCUGUCCCAGUGCCACCCCCAUCCUGUCCCGUGUCCCAGUGCCACCCCUGUCCUGUGUCUCAGUGCCACCCCUGUCCCUGUCCCUGUCCCAGUGCCACCCCUGUCCCUGUCCCUGUCCCAGUGCCACCCCCAUCCUGUCCCGUGUCCCAGUGCCACCCCCAUCCUGUCCUGUGUCCCAGUGCCACCCCUGUCCCUGUCCCGUGUCCCGGUGCCACCCCUGUCCUGUGUCCCAGUGCCACCCCUGUCCUGUCCCCUGUCCCGGUGCCACCCCGUGUGCCCGCAGUGCC